CACGUAGGCACCAAGCGUUGUCCGGAUUUAUUGGGCGUAAGGGCUUGUAGGCGGUUCGUUAAGUCUGGUGUGAAAUCUCCCGGCUCAACCGGGAGGGGUCAUCGGAUACUGGCGGACUAGAGACAGGUAGAGGAAAGCAGAAUUCCCGGUGUAGCGGUGAAAUGCGUAGAUAUCGGAAGGAACAUCAGUGGCGAAGGCGACUUCCUGGACCAAUACUGACGCUCAGGUGCGAAAGCGUGGGGAGCAAACAGG
rnacentral:rRNA from 1 species